rnacentral:rRNA from 1 species
GUGAGGAAUAUUGGACAAUGGGCGCAAGCCUGAUCCAGCCAUGCCGCGUGCAGGAAGACGCAUCUAUGGUGUGUAAACUGCUUUUGUACGGGAAGAAACACUCCCUCGUGAGGGAGCUUGACGGUACCGUAAGAAUAAGGAUCGGCUAACUCCGCGCCAGCAGCCGCGGUAAUACGGAGGAUCCAAGCGUUAUCCGGAAUCAUUGGGUUUAUAGGGUCCGUAGGCGGGUUGAUAAGUCAGUGGUGUAAGCCCAUCGCUCAACGAUGGAACGGGCAAUGAUACUGUUUGACUUGAAUUACAAAGAAGUAACUAGAAUAUGUAGUGUAGCGGUGAAAUGCUUAGAUAUUACAUGGAAUACCAAGUGCGAAGGCAGGUUACUACUUGGGGAUUGACGCUGAUGGACGAAAGCGUGGGGAGCGAACAGGAUUAGAUACCCCAGUAGUCC